rnacentral:rRNA from 1 species
AACUCGCCUGCAUGAAGUCGGAAUUGCUAGUAAUCGUGGAUCAGCAUGCCACGGUGAAUACGUUCCCGGGCCUUGUACACACCGCCCGUCACACCAUGGGAGUCGGUAACACCCGAAGCCUGUAGUCUAACCGCAAGGAGGACGCAGUCGAAGGUGGGAUUGAUGACUGGGGUGAAGUCGUAACAAGGUACC